rnacentral:tRNA from 1 species
GCCGGUGUAGCUCAAUUGGUAGAGCAGCGCUUUUGUAAAGCGAAGGCUUUGUGGGUUCGAGUCCCUCCACCGGCU